UGUAAACACAAAUAUUUAUGACUAUGUAAUAUAUUUACAAUUCGUGGUUUUAAAAUAUGUUUUUACCUAUUUUUUUUUAGAUAAAAUGACAAUUUGUUUUUACCACCAAUCGUGACUUGCACUCCUAUAUAAUCUGUGUUAAUUGACCCUAUUAUUAGGCUCUUAAAUAGUACUUACUUUAUUUUAAUUUUUAUUGCUCAAAAUAAAAACUAAAUAUUGGUAUCACAGCACUAAGUAUCUAUAAAAUUGGUGGUUAAACGGCAAUAAUCUAGAUUUAGAAAAAAAAAAACUUCGUUGAUUCUUGACUAUCAAAGAUUUCCGCAUUUAAUACUUUUUAUAUUUAAUUAAUGUUAAGAAUAAACUAUAUUUUUAAGAUUUUUAAGUUGAUAAUAAUAAAAAUAUUUCUGUCAGAAUAUAUGAAAUUCAAUUGUUUAAAUUCACUGUUUUACGGAGGAAUUAGUGUGAAUCUCAAAUUAUAGAGUUUACAAUCAAUUACUUAAAUAGAUUUAGAUGUUUCGGAUUUUUUAAGAAUCAUUAGUUCUAGAACUGUGUUUAGAAAUUUUAAAUAAAAAUUUUAAUCACAACUAAGAAAAUUUGGGAUUGGGUGAAGUGUCUUAUAAAAUAGAUUAUUAUCCUUCAUUUAAUCGAUAAAUAUGGAUAAUGAAUAAAGGAAUGAAUGGAUAUUGGAAUUUUAACAGGCAAUAUGAUUUGCUUGCGAAAAAUGGCCCCAAUUUUCUUAACUUUUAACACUGCAUUAGAAUUAAAAACUCUAUCAAAAUGUAUGGAUCACUCAAUUUCGAAUCGUGGAAUUUAAUAAACCGACUUUUGUUGCAAUUACAACUAAAAAUAGACGUAAUUAGUAAUUACCUACUUGAACAUUUUGAUGUAACUACAUAUAAAGUUUUAAACAUUUGUUCCUAAAGUUUGUACAUUCUAAGAAUUUGAUCUCAUUGUUACAAAUAAAAUUUAAAUAAAUAAAGAUAUUGUUCGUUUCAA